AAGAUACUCCCUCUGAUCCUAAAUUAUUGACUCAAAUUUGCCCAAAUAUGGAUGUAUCUAUUCUUAAAAAGCGUCUAGAUACAUGUAAUAUUUGGACAACAAUUUAGGAUCGGAGGGAGUAUAUU
rfam:Brachypodium distachyon strain Bd21 chromosome 2, whole genome shotgun sequence.